rnacentral:rRNA from 1 species
GAUGAACGCUGGCGGCGUGCUUAACACAUGCAAGUCGAACGGAAACAAGAUGAAACCUAGUGAUUCUUGUUUAGUGGCGGACGGGUGAGUAACGCGUGGAUAACCUGCCUUAUACUGGGGGAUAACACUUAGAAAUAGGUGCUAAUACCGCAUAAGCACACAGUCUCGCAUGAGAGAGUGUGAAAACUCCGGUGGUAUAAGAUGGAUCCGCGUCUGAUUAGCUAGUUGGUGAGGUAAUGGCUCACCAAGGCGACGAUCAGUAGCCGGCCUGAGAGGGUGAACGGCCACAUUGGGACUGAGACACGGCCCAAACUCCUACGGGAGGCAGCAGUGGGGAAUAUUGCACAAUGGGCGAAAGCCUGAUGCAGCGACGCCGCGUGAGUGAAGACGUAUUUCGGUAUGUAAAGCUCUAUCAGCAAGGAAGAAAAUGACGGUACUUGACUAAGAAGCCCCGGCUAACUACGUG